UACGAAGGGGGCUAGCGUUGUUCGGAAUUACUGGGCGUAAAGCGCGCGCAGGCGGCUAUCCAAGUCAGUGGUGAAAGCCCGGAGCUCAACUCCGGAACUGCCAUUGAAACUGUUUAGCUUGAGGAUGAGAGAGGUGAGUGGAAUUCCCAGUGUAGAGGUGAAAUUCGUAGAUAUUGGGAAGAACACCGGUGGCGAAGGCGGCUCACUGGCUCAUUACUGACGCUCAGGCACGAUAGCGUGGGGAUCAAACAGG
rnacentral:rRNA from 1 species